UACGUAGGGGCGAGCGUUGUCCGGAGUUACUGGGCGUAAAGCGCACGCAGGCGGUCUGCUAAGUUUGGAGUGACAGUUGGUGGCUUAACUGCCAAAGUGCUUCGAAAACUGACAGACUUGAGGGCUUCAGAGGGACACGGAAUCCGGGUGGAGUGGUGAAAUGCGUAGAGAUCCGGAGGAACACCAAAGGCGAAGGCAGUGUCCUGGGGAGUACCUGACGCUCAGGUGCGAA
rnacentral:rRNA from 1 species